CGUAAAGAACCUGCCUCAUAGACUGGGACAACUAUUGGAAACGAUAGCUAAUACCGGAUAACAGCAUUAACUGCAUGGUUGAUGUUUGAAAGUUGGUUUUGCUAACACUAUGAGAUGGCUUUGCGGUGCAUUAGCUAGUUGGUGGGUAAAGGCCUACCAAGGCGACGAUGCAUAGCCGACCUGAGAGGGUGAUCGGCCACACUGGGACUGAGACACGGCCCAG
rnacentral:rRNA from 1 species